rnacentral:rRNA from 1 species
AUUUGCCUACGGGGCGCAGCAGUAGGGAAUCUUCCACAAUGGGCGAAAGCCUGAUGGAGCAACGCCGCGUGGGUGAAGAAGGUCUUCGGAUCAUAAAACCCUGUUGUUAGAGAAGAAAGUGCAUGAGAGUAACUGUUCACGUUUCGACGGUAUCUAACCAGAAAGCCACGGCUAACUACGUGCCAGCAGCCGCGGUAAUACGUAGGUGGCAAGCGUUAUCCGGAUUUAUUGGGCGUAAAGGGGAAGCAGGCGGUCUUUUAAGUCUGAUGUGAAAGCCUUCGGCUUAACCGGAGUAGUGCAUUGGA